rnacentral:rRNA from 1 species
GACGAACGCUGGCGGCGUGCCUAAUACAUGCAAGUCGAACGCAGUGGGGACGGGUGAGUAACACGUGGGUAACCUCCCAUCAGAGGGGAUACCACUUGGAAACAGGUGCUAAACCGAUAUUGAUGGCUGGACCCGCGGUGCAUUGGCUAGUUGGUGAGGUAACGGCUCACCAAGGCCACGAGGCAUAGCCGACCUGGGAGGGUGAUCGGACACACUGGGACUGAGACACGGACCAGACUCCGCCGGGAGGCAGCAGUAGUGAAUCGGCGGCAAUGGACGAAAGUCUGACCGAGCAACGCCGCGUGAGCGAAGAAGGUUUUCGGAUCGUAAAACUGGGUGGUUAGAGAAGCGGUAUCUAACCAGAAAGCCACGGCUAACUACGUGCCAGCAGCCGCGGUAAUUC